UACAGCCAUAUCUUGUCAAAACACUGGAUCCCGUUCAAUCUCAAAGUUAAGCAACAUUGAGCCUGGUCAGUACCAAGAUGAGUGACUACUUGGGAAUAUCCAA